GCCGUUCCUCCCGCAGCCUUGCGCCGCCAUUAGCCACAGGAUCCGCCCUGCGGCGCACGGAGCCGCCUCCCGCAGCCGCAGCCGCAGCCGAUGUCGUAACCUCCCCCUGCCUCUUCUCCGCCUCACCCAUGUGCCUCCCAACCGCCAAGCCACCGCCGCCUCAUCUCCUCGCUGCACGGCCGGGCGACGCGGCGAGGCGCGCUCCCACGCCGCCGCCGGUGGGACACCGCAAGACCGCCGUCGGCCGCGUCCAUACCCUCAUCCAUCUGCAUAGCCCCAGCUUUGUCUCCUCCGCUCCGAGGCCGUACACGCCCUGACGCCCUUGAUCUGGACGGCAGUACCACCGGGGCGCAUCACCUUCUUGCGCCUCCCACAUAGGCCUCCGUGGUCGUGCUGCUCUGUACCCAAUGUCUGUCUAUAAGCUUCAUGUGCAUCAGUAGUCUUGAGCCGCCAAUCUUGAUCGAACAGGUCGCAGGAGCUUGCCGGUAACACCUGAUCUUUGAUCUGGUUUGUAUGCACGCGUGUAUGUGAUUAGUUUCAGGCUUUCAGCGGCCACAUGUCGUUGCAGUAAGACGAUGCAUCACGCAUUGAAUGGAACCGUAAGGCGAUGAGGCGAGGAGCGCGUGCACACACUGGCGUCAGCGGCACGGUGUCAAGCUGCGGAGAAGGCAUCCGGCGAGGCGGCCACCAAGUUCUCCAUCUCCUCUUGAAUUCUGCUAAUUAUCUUGGCAUUUUAUUGGCCUGCUACUUGAUGGAAAUCAAACUCCCCAUAUACACUUGUACUGAACACCACACACGACUGCUACUUUGGUGCAGUACGGUGAUUAGUCUUGCCUAAUUCUCUUGACCAAAGCAUUGCCCUUUGCUAUUUCUUAGUUUCUAUAUCUCAGGAUUAAUCGAUGAGUCAAAAGUCGAUGCUUCCGUUUCGAAAUCAUAGUUUUUGUUUUCAAAAUCAUAGAAAAGUUUGGGACGGCUAUACUAUAGCAUGCUCUGGACAUCCUACUGAUGCCGAUGAUUUUUCUUUGCAGGUGCCUAAGUGGAUGGCGGUGAACAGGCGUUCAGCAAAGACUCUCUCUUAGGUUGGGUUCUCCCGAUGCCAUUCCCUUCCUUCACUUGCUUAGCUUACAUUGUGGCUGCUCAUUGUUUGUUUCCUUCAUUUUCUUUCUGAAGUAUGGGACGAGGAGAUUGAAGUUGGACCCUGUUGAUGGCUCGAUACCGAACCCAGAACAUGUGCCUGAUCAUGGUACACACCAUUGGAUGGUUUUUGCUGCCUAUAUGUUUUUGUGAGUAGCCAUGAGCAUCGAAUGUCUAUCUGCUAAUUUCAGUUCAGAAUUUUGUUCUUUCAUAGUUGUUGCUUAUUUUCCUUGUUGGCCAAUGGUCAUUGUAAGUUUUCGAGGAGUUUGUUAGACUACUCGCAUUUAGAUGUGUAAUAGUGUUAAGCGACUGUUUUGGAUUCAGUUGUUGGGAGCUCGAAUCUGAAGCCUCUAUCCUGCAAAGAGGAGCAAGUGAUGUGGAUAUUUUACGAGCAAAAGAUUCAAGAAGUGUGCAGAGCAUUCAUAUUCCCCCACAAAAUUCAGUUGAAUAUGGCAUCCCCUCAACGUAAUGGGAUCCGGACACCAUUUCAGGACCUAACGAACACUAGAAAUUCUGCCAAUUGGAACAACAAGCAAUGCAUCAGCUAAUUAGAACAUCAAGCAAGCAAUGCAGCUACUGUCAAGGUUCAGGCGCCGACGAUGAAGGGAACAAAACCUAUAUCUAUAUCA